rnacentral:rRNA from 1 species
UACAGAGGGGGCAAGCGUUGUUCGGAAUUACUGGGCGUAAAGGGCGCGUAGGCGGCCUGUUAAGUCGAACGUGAAAUCCCUGGGCUCAACCCAGGAACUGCGUCCGAUACUGGCAGGCUUGAAUCCGGGAGAGGGAUACGGAAUUCCAGGUGUAGCGGUGAAAUGCGUAGAUAUCAGGAGGAACACCGGUGGCGAAGGCGGAUCUCUGGGCCUUACCUGACGCUCAGGUGCGAAAGCUAGGGGAGCGAACAGG